UUGUUGCUUUUGGCUCAGUUAUUGCAAGCAUCCCCUGUUCAUAUUUGCAUGCAUGCUCUUGUGAAAGUGACAAUAGGCCUUGGUACUAGUCUGGAUCAAUGGUUAAAUUUGGGAUUACCAUUUCAAUAUUUAUGAGAUUUGUAUAUUAUAUUUACCCCCAAUAGCAGGUCCCAAUUUACAUUAUAUUUAUUGAAGUGUAAUAACUACUGAUAUGUUGAAACACCUCAAGCGUCCGAAAACGACGUCCUGUAAAGAUGCGUCAGUAACUGACGUCCUGUAAAGAUGCGUCAGUAACUGACGUCCUGUAAAGAUGCGUCAGUAACUGACGUCCUUGUGCUGUGAGGUAACAUUACGUAAAGACGUUUCUCUGUACUUACAAACCUCACAUUUCCUGCCAAGUUAAAUUGAGUGAAGUUAAAAUAAAGUUGUUGUUUUGUUUUCUUUUUUUUGCAUCAAUGUAUUAGACACUCCCGAAGACGACCUUACAAGUCUGGUAUUGAAGCAUUGUGAAUACAUGCCUGCCGUUCAAGUCAGUUUUCAGUAUGUUAGCCUGGCUCAAUGUGAAGCUCGUCUUCCUCUAGUGUUUACAUAGUGUACGCAUCUCGUGAAUUGGAGCCAUCAAAUCUGUAUUAUGAAAGGAGCUCUGUUUGUACAAGGAAUAUUACUUGCCACAGCACAAGGACAUUUGCCUCAUGCAUCUGCUUUACGCCCAUGAUAAGGCUCUAUUGAGUGAUUUAGCGUUAAAGCAAAAUCCUCAGAGGUAUCUCUUGACCCUCGUUAGUGAACAGGAGUUUAAUCCCUGGUAA
rnacentral:lncRNA from 13 species